AAAUUGAAGAGUUUGAUCAUGGCUCAGAUUGAACGCUGGCGGCAGGCCUAACACAUGCAAGUCGAACGGUAACAGGAAGCAGCUUGCUGCUUUGCUGACGAGUGGCGGACGGGUGAGUAAUGUCUGGGAAACUGCCUGAUGGAGGGGGAUAACUACUGGAAACGGUGGCUAAUACCGCAUAACGUCGCAAGACCAAAGAGGGGGACCUUCGGGCCUCUUGCCAUCAGAUGUGCCCAGAUGGGAUUAGCUUGUUGGUGAGGUAACGGCUCACCA
rnacentral:rRNA from 1 species